GCACUGCUGCCUCCUCUGCAGCUACUAUCUAUCAGUACCCCCAGCUCCCUCUCUGCCUGGCUGCUCUCAGCCACUCUGGCCCCAGCCUGUAGUGCUGCUUGGGGUUGCUGUGGCCAAAGUGCAGAACCCUGCCCUUGGCCUUGUUCAAUCUCAUCCCACAUUUCCUUUGAAUGUGGUUGAAUCUUUGGCACCUCCUGAGCCCCUCAGGUGCUGGGGCAUAGCACAGCCCCUGAGAGCACAGAGCUCCACUGGGUGCUGGUCUAACACCUGCUGGGUUUGCCCUCCUCUGUCCUCAGCUGCAUAGAGAAGGUUCCUUUUUCUUGCCAUUUUAACAGCAAAUAAUAGCUUGGAUCAAGUCCCUGCCCAGCUAAAUGACUCUGCUGAGCCUUCAUCCUAGAGGUGGGGAACUCUCUGUCUGACUCUCCCAGGCAGCAUUCAUCCAGGGUGGAAAAUGGGGCAGUAGGAUGCAGGUUUUUAGUAGCAAGUGCUCUGGGUUGCACUGCACUGAAGGAUUUUCAGCUCUUUCCUCCUCCUCCUCCUCCUCCUCUCUUCUUCUCAUGUUCAAAAGACCAAACAGCAAAGCAAAAACCCAACCCAGCAGCAACAACAAAACAAACCAACCUUGAAACCUCAACCUGUGCCCUUCAGGAGUUGGUUUGGUGAUGGAGAACCCAUUUAGCUCUGCUCCUCGGGAAUGGGGAUGUCUGCAUCCAUGUCUUUGUGAUGGGAAUCCACUUGGCUCUGCUCCUUGGGAAUGGGGAUGUCUGCAUCCAUGUUUUUGUGGUCAGAAUCCAUUUAGCUCUGCUCUUUGGGAAUGAGGAUGUCUCUCUCUCCAAGUUUUUGUGAUGGGAAUCCAGUUAGCUCUGCUCUUUGGGAAUGAGGAUGUCUCUCUCUCCAUGUUUUUAUGAUGGGAAUCCACUUGGCUCUGCCCUUUGGGAAUGAGGAUGUCUCUCCCUCCAUGAAUUGCCUUUUGUGAUGGAGAAAUCCAUUUAGCUCUGAUCCCUGCAGCUCUCUCUUUCAACAGUGAGCCUGAGGGUGCCAAGGAUGAAGCUGCUGCUGUAGCUGUUGAACUGUCUGCCCAGACUCUCUCUGCAGCACUCUCAGCUCUUUGGGAUGGGAUUAAUCUUUCUAACCAGGUUCUAACAGGGCUGAGCAAACCUCUCCCUGCCAUCAGCCUUGUCUAACCAUAACGUUUUAUGCUUUGCACAUAAAAGUUCUCUGCUGUCUCUGUUCAGAUCCUGUUCAUGAUGAUUUCUGAGUUGAUGGGGUUUUUUCUCUGUCUAAAUUAUAAAGGCAAAGCCUUGUGCAGCUGUUGCACACCCACAA